GGACCCCUGCCACGUACAAAGAUAGGAUUCUGCACCCCAGAAUCACUUACCAUUUUAAUAUGCUUAGCCCUUGGAUUCAGUCAGACCGCAGACCAUGGUUUUCUGGCUUUUCAUCUUUAGCGUGGCUGCUUGUCAGGACACUGUCUUCUUGCUUUAUAUAAA
rfam:Carollia perspicillata clone 29G20, complete sequence.